GUUUGAUCCUGGCUCAGGACGAACGCUGGCGGCGUGCUUAACACAUGCAAGUCGAACGGUGAACUCCGCUUGCGGGGGGAUCAGUGGCGAACGGGUGAGUAACACGUGAGUAACCUGCCCUUGACUCUGGGAUAAGCCUGGGAAACCGGGUCUAAUACUGGAUACGACCUUCUGGCGCAUGCCAUGUUGGUGGAAAGCUUUUGUGGUUUUGGAUGGACUCGCGGCCUAUCAGCUUGUUGGUGGGGUAAUGGCCUACCAAGGCGACGACGGGUAGCCGGCCUGAGAGGGUGACCGGCCACACUGGGACUGAGACACGGCCCAGACUCCUACGGGAGGCAGCAGUGGGGAAUAUUGCACAAUGGGCGCAAGCCUGAUGCAGC
rnacentral:rRNA from 1 species